rnacentral:rRNA from 1 species
UACGUAGGGUGCGAGCGUUGUCCGGAAUUAUUGGGCGUAAAGGGCUCGUAGGCGGUUUGUCGCGUCGGGAGUGAAAUCCACUGGCUUAACUGGUGGCUUGCUUUCGAUACGGGCAGACUGGAGGUAUGCAGGGGAGAACGGAAUUCCUAGUGUAGCGGUGAAAUGCGCAGAUAUCAGGAGGAACACCGGUGGCGAAGGCGGUUCUCUGGGCAUGACCUGACGCUGAGGAGCGAAAGUGUGGGGAGCGAACAGG